rnacentral:lncRNA from 1 species
CUGGAAGUAUCGCUCCAUUGUGCCUCGUCCCAGCAUUUCCUGCUAUUUCUCGAUUCGAGAUGGGAUCCCAGAGGCCCGGCCUUCCCCCAUGGGAACCUCAAAAUCCUUGGAAUGCAGGCAGCCUGCGACCUGGCAGCUCGGCUACCCUGAGUCGGGCUACGCCCUGAUUGCACUCCCGCUUCUGACCCAGGUGCCCUUGCCUCACCUCUUGGAGGACGAGCACGUCUAGCAGAGGAGACAGCUGGCUGGGGAGACCCAGAAAGAAGCACAGGUCCAGCCAGCAUGGGGACAGCAGAGCCCUGGGGAUCAGACCACCAUGGAGUCCACAGCUGUUUACUGAACAAC